CUAAUCCCUAGCCCCUCUUAUAAAAAGGGUACAAUACUUGAAUGCCAAAAGUAAGAAAAAUUCAAAGAAAAAUAUUCUGAAAAUCUGAGUCCUCUUCCUCCUUCUCUUCCUCCCCGUUCUCCAAAGUUUUUAAGAGAGUCUGUGAGAUCUGUAAGAGAACAACUUCAUCCAUCAAAGAGAAGUCUUCUACAAGGGAGCUAGCACCCCGAUGAAGACACCUACCUCUGAUCAAAACAAGUUCUCAUGUGGAUACCUGUGGAGGCC
rnacentral:lncRNA from 1 species